AUGCGCAGAAGGGAGGGAGAGGCGGCGGCGCAUGCGCAGUGAGGGGGGGGGAGGCGGCGGCGCGUGCGCAGUGAGGAGGAAGCGGCGGGAUGGAGGCGGCGCUGGAGGUGACGGCGCGGUACUGCCGCAGCGAGCUGGAGCAGUACGGGCGCUGCGUGGCCGCCAGCCCGGCUUCGUGGCAGCGGGACUGCCACAGCCUCCGCCUCGGCAUCUCCCGCCCCAUCGUCAGGAGGAUCCGCAGCGACUGCGCCGAGCCCUUCGCCGCCUUCGAGAGGUGCCUGCAGGAGAACGAGGCCGCCGUGGGGAAGUGCAGCGAGCACGUCGCCGCCUUCCUGCGCUGCGCCGAGCAGGUGAAGGUCGCCGCGUGAGGUGAGCGGGGGCUGGUUUCGCUCGGGACCUGCAGCGCAGGGCCCUCCGCGCUCCGUUUCUCUCAUUUAAACAGCUGGAGCGGCCGCGCUGCUAUCGGCCAGCCCAGCAGCAUCGCAAUAGGCCAGCCCAAAUUCUGCUUAUGCCCGUGUUUCUCUCCCGCCCCUUGUAAAUUCCGACCUAGCGUCCUCUCAGAAAAACAUAAAGCACUGGAACAGGUUGCCCAGAGAGGCUGUGGAUGCCCCAUCCCUGGAGGUGCUCAAGGCCCUGAGCAACCUGAUCUAGUGUUGGAAUUGGCGUUGGUGUUGGAAUCAGGUGAUCUACGAGGGCCCUUCCAACCCCAGCUACUCUGAAAACAUAGCAGGAAACUAUAUCAAGGUUAAACCCAUUGGCAGGGGAAGUAUUUCCUCUGUUUGUGACCACAAGCGCAGCAGCGUGUUUUUCCGAAUGGUCGUUCUGUGUUGGACUAAGGUGCUGCCCUGCGGUAAAAGACCCUGGGAUGAAAGCAGUCUUGUUUUGACGUAAAGUCUUGGUUUAAUUGGUACAACUCUAUUAAUCGACUGGCUCAUCAGGUUUGCGUGGUGGUAUAUGCAGAAUGGGUUUGUUGGGUGGGUCAGGCUGCAGCACGCAGCACUGGGAUAAAGAUCCUGUAAACUUCUGUGGAGCUACAUUAAAGCAAAUAACGUGCCACUAAGCAUAUAGGAACAGACUGACUGUGACAUCUGCCCGCCACCUGAAAAGGUAAUUUACUCUGCCUCACGACUGGGGUGUUGCAUACCUGAUUCUUUUAUUUGUGCUGUUUUUUUUCUUUUUUUUUUUUUUUUCCGUAGGGGAUCCUUGGAAUUAAAGUUCAUCCUCAGGAGUGAAUGAAAACUCUUUCCGUACUCUGGAGUCUCGUUCCAAUGCUCAGUUGGGUUGUUUCUCCCCUCUGAAAAACUGAGUGCAGCCCUGUGAUGUGGUUCUCUUGGUGCUUGUCUUCCACAACCAGCUGGACUCUGACACGGCUGUCGGAGCAUUCCUGAUCUGCUGGUACUUGUGUGCUGCUAAUGCUGGGUUUUUGCUGCUGGUGCUCCAUGCCCUUAGCAACUUUUCUGUAUUCAACAAUUUCUUUGAUAAUUAAGCACAGUAUUUUCCUUCGUCCCAAUAAAAAUCACUCCUGAAGAUCAAA